rnacentral:rRNA from 1 species
CCAGUCACUGCAUGGUGUGCUGGUGGAAAGUUUUUUCGGCCAGGGAUGUGCUCGCGGCCUAUCAGCUUGUUGGUGGGGUAAUGGCCUACCAAGGCUUCGACGGGUAGCCGGCCUGAGAGGGUGACCGGCCACACUGGGACUGAGACACGGCCCAGACUCCUACGGGAGGCAGCAGUGGGGAAUAUUGGACAAUGGGCGGAAGCCUGAUCCAGCAACGCCGCGUGAGGGAUGACGGCCUUCGGGUUGUAAACCUCUUUCAGUACCGACGAAGCGCCGAUGAUGGUGGUGACGGUAGGUACAGAAGAAGCACCGGCCAACUACGUGCCAGCAGCCGCGGUAAUACGUAGGGUGCGAGCGUUGUCCGGAAUUAUUGGGCGUAAAGGGCUCGUAGGCGGUUUGUCGCGUCGGGAGUGAAAACACCGGGCUUAACUCGGUGCUUGCUUUCGAUACGGGCAGACUAGAGGCAUGCAGGGGAGAACGGAAUUCCUGGUGUAGCGGUGAAAUGCGCAGAUAUCAGGAGGAACACCGGUGGCGAAGGCGGUUCUCUGGGCAUGUCCUGACGCU